AGGAUGAACGCUGGCGGCGUGCCUAAGACAUGCAAGUCGAGUGGGUUUAGACCCACGGCGAACGGGUGAGUAAUACCUAGGAAUGUCCUUUAAGUUGAGCAUAACCAGUCGAAAGAUUGGAUAAUACUCGAUGUGGUCGUAAGACUAAAGUCGCAAGACGCUUAAAGCGCAGCCUGGGCACCAUCAGCUAGUUGGUAAGGUAAUGGCUUACCAAGGCUAUGACGGUUAGGGGCCCCCGAGAGGGGGAAACCCCCCACACUGGAACUGCGACACGGUCCAGACUCCUACGGGAGGCAGCAGUUUGGAAUUUUGGACAAUGGGCGAAAGCCUGAUCCAGCGACGCCGCGUGGACGAUGAAGGCCUUCGGGUCGUAAAGUCCUUUUGCUCGGGAACAAUUUUGAGCGUACCGAGAGAAUAAGAGGUUGCUAACUCUGUGCCAGCAGCCGC
rnacentral:rRNA from 1 species